rnacentral:rRNA from 1 species
UACAGAGGGUGCAAGCGUUAUUCGGAAUUAUUGGGCAUAAAGCGCAUGUAGGUGGUUUGAUAAGUCUGAUGUGAAAGCCCCGGACUCAAUUCGGGAAGUGCAUUGGAUACUGUCAGGCUAGAGUAUGGGAGAGGUGAGCGGAAUUCCAGGUGUAGAGGUGAAAUUCGUAGAUAUCUGGAGGAACAACAGAGGCGAAGGCGGCUCACUGGACCAUUACUGACACUGAGAUGCGAAAGCGUGGGGAGCAAACAGG